rnacentral:rRNA from 1 species
UACGAAGGGGGCUAGCGUUGCUCGGAAUCACUGGGCGUAAAGCGCACGUAGGCGGCUUUUAAGUCAGAGGUGAAAUCCUGGAGCUCAACUCCAGAACUGCCUUUGAUACUGGAGAGCUUGAGUCCGGGAGAGGUGAGUGGAACUGCGAGUGUAGAGGUGAAAUUCGUAGAUAUUCGCAAGAACACCAGUGGCGAAGGCGGCUCACUGGCCCAGUACUGACGCUGAGGUGCGAAAGCGUGGGGAGCAACAGG